GUACAUUUCAAAAUGUUAUGUGAACUGGGAUGUCAAGUAGAGGAUCAUCAUAACAUGCAAACUUGGUUUACACAUCCGGCAAACCCGGCGGAAAAAGUCUUUGCCAUUAUGGAUGUGUAUCAUUGCUAAAAUUGAUCCGCAACAUGUUGGCAUUUUAUUGAAGAAUUAUAUAAAAUUCAAGAAGAGGAAACACUCAACUUUGGAAACAAAUUGAAAAAGCUCCACAUUCAGUGGCAAAGGCAAUAAAUGAAAGUAAGUCUGUGCACAGUUUCUUAUUUAUUUAUUACAUAAUAACAUUUACUGCUUUAAGUCACCUUAGCAGCUCAAACUUUUUCAGUUCGAGUGUUGCUGAUGCAUUGGAAUUUCUUGGUGUAGAUAUGAAACAUUCCAAAUUUCACGGAGCCCUGCCCACAAUCGCCUUUAUUCCCAGAAUAAAUUAUUUAUUUGAUUUGUUGAAUUCAAGGAGCCCUUGGGGAUAUGGGUACAAAGUUCCUCUGAAAGAGAGUAACUAGUCACUAUGGUAUCCGUUUAUAAAAGAUAGUAUUAACUACUUAUUGGCCUACACAACUACAGAAGGGAGACCAUUGUACAUGACUCCAAGAAAAACACCAAUUUUGGGUUUUGUGAUUAGUGCAAUUGGAAUAUUUGAAUUCCAAAUUGAAGAGAAACAUCGGCUCGAAUACAUUUUGAUGUAUAAAUGCAGUCAACAUCUUGAAAUGUUUUUUUCGUGUAUAAGAGCUCGCAAUGGUUGGAACAAUAACCCCACUGCAAUGCAAUUCAUGUAUUCCUUUCGGAAAUUACUGCUAUUUACAAAAGUCGAAGGGGAGGAAAUUGUAGUAUUGGAUUUAUCAACGGUCCUAGAGUACCAAGUACGAGGUCUUCUUCCAAAGUUAAUGAAACUUUUGAUAUAUCUCUUAGCAAA